AUGGCUCAGAACGAACGCUGGCGGCGCGCUUAAGCAUGCAAGUCGAACGGCAUGAGGAAGCUUGCUUCCUCAGAGAGUGGCGGACUGGUGAGUAACACGUGGGUGACCUACCCUUGAGAUGGGGAUAGCCGUUAGAAAUAGCGGAUAAUACCGAAUACGCUCUACGGACUCUGGUUUGUAGAGGAAACAGGCUACGGCCUGGCUCGAGGAUGGGCCCGCGUCCCAUUAGCUAGUUGGUGAGGUAAGAGCCCACCAAGGCGACGAUGGGUAUCCGGCCUGAGAGGGUGUACGGACACAUUGGGACUGAGAUACGGCCCAAACUCCUACGGGAGGCAGCAGCUAAGAAUAUUCCGCAAUGGACGAAAGUCUGACGGAGCGACGCCGCGUGGAUGACGAAGGCCGAAAGGUUGUAAAAUCCUUUUGCUGAUGAAGAAUAAGCGUGGUAGGGAAUGACCGCGUGAUGACAUUAGUCGGUGAAUAAGCCCCGGCUAACUACGUGCCAGCCGCAGC
rnacentral:rRNA from 1 species